UAAAGGGGAGAGAAUCAAAAUCAAUAAAAUCAGGUGUGGUGGAGAUGGGAGGCCCCUGCUUAAUGCUAAAAUCACAGGUCUCUGUGAAAAUCAAUAACGGCCCCAAAGAUAAAUGCGCAAUGGACAUUAACUGGCCAAUCCCAAAGGAAGAAACAAAAAAGGCCAAUAAGCAUAUAAGAAAAUGUGAAGGCCAGGAGCAGUGGCUCACGCCUGUAAUCCCAGCACUUUGGGAGGCCGAGGUGGGCGGAUCACUUGAGCUCAGGAGUUCGAGACCAGCCUGGGCAACAUGGUGAAACCCCAUCUCUACAUAAAAUGCAAAAAAUAGCCAUGGAUAAUGGCAUGGGGCUGUAGUCCAAGCUACUCAGGAGGCUGAGAUAGGAGGAUGGCUUGAGCCUGGUGUUAGGUUUUUUAAAGGGAAGGCGAGGGUUAAAGAAAGACAGAGAGAGAGAGGGCAGCUCUACAGCAACAGAGGUAUAGUGCAGAAACCUACAGAGGUGGGGGACCAACUUAAUGCCAGAGCCCACCGCCGCUUACAGGCUGGGGUACUUACAGGCCUGGACGGGAGGGGUUUGGGCAGUAGGGCUUCUGCCUGGGAAGAUGUUGAGAGAUGUUCCCAUGAUGAGGCAGUUGGGUCCUUGUUCCCAGCAGAAUACGAUCAGGAUGUUCCUUCAGCUGGGCCUUUGCCCGGCAAGGUAUGUUCGGGAUGUUCCUGGGCCGUGUGGUCAGGAUGUUGGGCAGGAUGUUCCUCACAGCCCAAACCCCGUGGAAUGUUUCACUUCAACCUGGGUCUGGAAAACGGCAGGGGGCUUACAAAAUGGUGCAGUUUGGAUUAACACCCAGGAGCCAGAGGCUGCAGUGAGCUGAGAUGGCGCCACUGCACUCCAGCCUGGGCAACAGAGCCAGAGCCUGUCUCAAAAAAAAAGGAAAGAAAGAAAGAAAAUGUUAAACCCUCAUAGUACUCAAAUCAAAGAAACUAAAUCAACAAUGCAACACCAUCCUGGCUACCAAACUGGUAAGCCUUUUUUAAAAAUUAUAAGACUCGGGCUGGGCGCUGUGGCUCACGCCUGUAAUCCCAGCACUUUGGGAGGCUGAGGCAGGCGGAUCAUGAAGUCAGGAGUUUGAGACCAGCCUGACCAACAUGGCAAAAUCCUGUCUCUACCAAAAAAAAUACAAAAAUUAGCUGGGCGUGGCCAGGCGCGGUGGCUUAACGCCUGUAAUCCCAGCACUUUGGGAGGCCGACACAGGCGGAUCACAAGAUCAGGAGAUCGAGACCAUCCUGGCUAACACAGGUGAAACCCCGUCUCUACUAAAAAUAUAAAAAAUUAGCCAGGCAUAGUGGUGGGCACCUGUAGUCCCAGCUACUCGGGAGGCUGAGGCAGGAGAAUGGCGGGAACCCAGGAGGCAGAGCUUGCAGUGAGCUGAGAUUGCGCCACUGCGCUCCAGCCUGGGCGACAGAGCUAGACUCCGUCUCAAAAAAAAAAAAAAAAAAAAAUUAGCUGGGUGUGGUGGUGCGCACCUGUAAUCCCAGCUACUCAGGAGGCUGAGGAAGGAGAAUUGCAUGAACUCAGGAGGCAGAAGUUGCAGUGAGCCGAGAUCACGCCACUGCACUCCAGUCUGGGUGACAGAGCAAGACUCUGUCUCAAAAUAAU
rnacentral:sRNA from 1 species